rnacentral:lncRNA from 1 species
UUGACCUCGUGAUCCGCCCCUCUCGGCCUUCCAAAGUGCUGGGAUUACAGGCGUGAACCACCGCGCCCGGCCCCCUGCUUCAUGUUUGAGAGGAAAAUCUAAUUUGUUUAUACUAAUAUUUAGAGCACGCUUCCGGAUUCAGUAUGGCUACUGGAUGCUAAGGAAAUGUUUCUUUAGCAGUUUGAGAUUCUGUGGUUGAGACACAUACAAGAAAUAAAUUAAGUACAAAAACAUCCGUUGAAUUUUUAGGAACUCUCAAGGUUUUAAAGAGAUGCAAGCAGAUGACAGUGAAUGCUGUGUUACUCUGCCUGGGUCUACCCUCAGGGCAAGGGCGUGCGUUUCCCCAGCUGCCAGGAAUGUUUGCCACUAACAGCUCACAGCUGAGUUCAUCUCCUGUUAUUACCCUUUACCUAAGGGAGCGGCCUCCAAGAGAAACUUGUUUGCCCUCAACUCAGUCUGCAUCUGGCGGAGUUUGAAAGAAUAAAGAGAUGGAGGGAACGCAUCAUAACCUGGUAUGACCUGGAUCAACAUAAACAAAGGGGUUUAGAUAGCUCAUGGUUCUGCUGGUUAGGAAGUUCAAGCGCAAGGCCCUGACUUCUGGUAAGUGCUUUCAUGCUGCAUCAACACGACUAAGAAGGUCAAAGAAGAAGUGGACAUAUUUCAUCAGAAUGGUCUUUCCUAUCAGCAUAUUGGUCACAAUUAUAUAACAAAUCUCUAAGAAGCUCCAAAGUUUUCUUCACCUUUGUACUUUCUUCUGAGUUCUUGCCAGAACCACCCUUAAUUCUUCAUUCAUGGUAAGAUAGACUUUUUCUAGCCUGCUCCUCCUAACUCUUCUAAUCUCUUUCUACUAUCCAGUUCCAAAGCCAACCCCACAUUUUUAUAUACCUAUAUAACAAUGAUCAAUUGUUAGUACCAAUUUUCUAUCUUAGUUUUGUGUUGCUAUAACAGAAUACGUGAGCCUCGGUAAUUUAUAAAGAAAGGAGAUGUAUUUAGCUCAUGGUUCUGCAAGCUGGGAAAUUCAAGGGCAUGGCUCUGGCUUCUGGGAAGGGCUUUCAUGAUGUGUUAUAACAUAACAAAUAAGGUCAAAGAGGAUGUGGACAAGUGUGAAAAGGCAAAAUCUGAAGGGCAUCCCAGCUUUUUUAGUCACUAACCCUCACAAGAACUAAUCUAUUUCCAUCAUAAGUAAUCAAGUCUCACAAGAGCAAGAAAUCACUCACUGUGGUGAGAACAACCACCA